AGACUUUCGGCCGCCGAAGGUGCUGCCGAACAUGCAUGAGUUUCGUCUCUGGAGGGGGGUUUCGGCCGCCGAACCUGCCGCCGAAAGUGCCCUGUCCAGCCUUCUUUUGCAUGUUUUAUGUGAUUGUUUUAGGAUCUUUUAGAGGGUUUUUGGGGGAGUUUUUAGAGAUGUUCUUGAGUUAGUUUGGUCCCUCAUUUGAGUCCACCUGUGUAGGAACGGACCAGAGGAAUCAGGGAGGUCAGCAGUGAGCACUGCUUCAAAACCUGCAGAGUCAGUACAGAGUCAGCCAGAGGUGAGUGGAACU
rnacentral:lncRNA from 1 species